UGGCCGGGCACGUGGCUGGCUGGAAGGCCCGACCGGGGCGGAAGCACCUGGGGCGCAUGCGCAGGUGGUUGUUCCGCGGACGCCUGGCGGACGGCUUUCUGAAGGGACGAGGCGGGAUCGUUGUUGUCGCCAUUGUCGUCCUUUCGGUCGUAGGUUGUGGGUGACCAGGGCGGCGCUUUCCUCACUUCGGUCCUGGGCCACGGUGGACCGGAAGAGGGACAGCCCCUCGCAGGCUGGCAGGGAGGAGGCUAGGGUCAGAACAGGUAACUCCGGAGGUAGAACCUGGAAAUGAUGAGAGGCUGUCAAAGAAAAAAGGCAACAAAGUAAGUAUUUUUAAAUUAUGGAUAUAUUCUUUUACAACUUAUAAUCUAUCAGAUAUAACUUUAAUUCUUG
rnacentral:lncRNA from 1 species